GGCCUUGACAUACUAAGAACUUUCCAGAGAUGGAUUGGUGCCUUCGGGAACUUAGAUACAGGCGCUGCAUGGCUGUCGUCAGCUCGUGUCGUGAGAUGUUGGGUUAAGUCCCGNAACGAGCGCAACCCUUUUCCUUAUUUGCCAGCGGGUCAUGCCGGGAACUUUAAGGAUACUGCCAGUGACAAACUGGAGGAAGGCGGGGACGACGUCAAGUCAUCAUGGCCCUUACGGCCAGGGCUACACACGUGCUACAAUGGUCGGUACAAAGGGUUGCUACCUCGCGAGAGGAUGCUAAUCUCAAAAAGCCGAUCGUAGUCCGGAUCGCAGUCUGCAACUCGACUGCGUGAAGUCGGAAUCGCUAGUAAUCGCGGAUCAGAAUGCCGCGGUGAAUACGUUCCCGGGCCUUGUACACACCGCCCGUCACACCAUGGGAGUUUGUUGCACCAGAAGUAGGUAGUCUAACCGCAAGGAGGACGCUUACCACGGUGUGGCCGAUGACUGGGGUGAAGUCGUAACAAGGUAAGCGUAGAUGA
rnacentral:rRNA from 1 species